GACGAACGCUGGCGGCGUGCUUAACACAUGCAAGUCGAACGGAAAGGCCCUGCUUUUGUGGGGUGCUCGAGUGGCGAACGGGUGAGUAACAAGUGAGUAACCUGCCCUUGACUUUGGGAUAACUUCAGGAAACUGGGGCUAAUACCGGAUAGGAGCUCCUGCUGCAUGGUGGGGGUUGGAAAGUUUCGGCGGUUGGGGCUGGACUCGCGGCUUAUCAGCUUGUUGGUGGGGUAGUGGCCUACCAAGGCUUAGACGGGUAGCCGGCCUGAGAGGGUGACCGGCCACAUUGGGCCUGAGAUACGUCCCAGACUCCUACGGGAGGCAGCAGUGGGGAAUAUUGCACAAUGGGCGGAAGCCUGAUGCAGCAACGCCGCGUGCUGGAUGACGGCCUUCGGGUUGUAAACCGCUUUCGCCUGUGACGAAGCGUGAGUGACGGUAAUGGGUAAAGAAGCACCGGCUAACUACGUG
rnacentral:rRNA from 1 species